GUGAUAUUAGAAGCAGGAUUUAGUUCUUACUGUAAAAUCCUUUUCUCCGAGUCCAAUAAGGGACACAGCUGUGAAAAAUUAUAAAACGUAGGGUUAUGC